GAUGAACGCUGGCGGCGUGCCUAAUACAUGCAAGUCGAGCGAAUGGAUUAAGAGCUUGCUCUUAUGAAGUUAGCGGCGGACGGGUGAGUAACACGUGGGUAACCUGCCCAUAAGACUGGGAUAACUCCGGGAAACCGGGGCUAAUACCGGAUAACAUUUUGAACCGCAUGGUUCGAAAUUGAAAGGCGGCUUCGGCGGUCACUUAGGGAUGGACUCGGGUCGCAUUAGCUAGUUGGUGAGGGAACGGCUCACCAAGGCAACGAUGCGUAGCCGGCCUGAGAGGGUGAUCGGCCACACUGGGACUGAGACACGGCCCAGACUCCUACGGGAGGCAGCAGUAGGGAAUCUUCCGCAAUGGACGAAAGUCCGACGGAGCAACGCCGCGUGAGUGAUGAAGGCUUUCGGGUCGUAAAACUCUGUUGUUAGGGAAGAACAAGUGCUAGUUGAAUAAGCUGGCACCUUGACGGUACCUAACCAGAAAGCCACGGCUAACUACGUGCCAGCCGCCGCGGUAA
rnacentral:rRNA from 1 species